UUGGAGGUUGUGCCCUUGAGGCGUGGCUUCCGGAGCUAACGCGUUAAAUCGACCGCCUGGGGAGUACGGCCGCAAGGUUAAAACUCAAAUGAAUUGACGGGGGCCCGCACAAGCGGUGGAGCAUGUGGUUUAAUUCGAUGCAACGCGAAGAACCUUACCUGGUCUUGACAUCCACAGAACCUGGCAGAGAUGCCGGGGUGCCUUCGGGAACUGUGAGACAGGUGCUGCAUGGCUGUCGUCAGCUCGUGUUGUGAAAUGUUGGGUUAAGUCCCGCAACGAGCGCAACCCUUAUCCUUUGUUGCCAGCGGUCCGGCCGGGAACUCAAAGGAGACUGCCAGUGAUAAACUGGAGGAAGGUGGGGAUGACGUCAAGUCAUCAUGGCCCUUACGACCAGGGCUACACACGUGCUACAAUGGCGCAUACAAAGAGAAGCGACCUCGCGAGAGCAAGCGGACCUCAUAAAGUGCGUCGUAGUCCGGAUUGGAGUCUGCAACUCGACUCCAUGAAGUCGGAAUCGCUAGUAAUCGUGAAUCAGAAUGUCACGGUGAAUACGUUCCCGGGCCUUGUACACACCGCCCGUCACACCAUGGGAGUGGGUUGCAAAAGAAGUAGGUAGCUUAACCUUCGGGAGGGCG
rnacentral:rRNA from 1 species